UCAGCAGUGCUAAAGUGCUUAUAGUGCAGGUAGUAUUUCUGUCAUCUACUGCAGUGUGAGCACUUGAAGUACUUCUAG
rfam:Danio rerio chromosome 1 genomic contig WGSCTG1, GRCz11 reference primary assembly.